AUGUUACUUUACCGUGAUCCUUACCAUAACCUGGUGUCAAUGCAGGCCACCAUAAGUCAAUUUGAAUCGGAGCUUGCUGUCCUGAAGAGUCGUCUGGAAACUCAAGAACUUGAAACUCAGAAGGCCAACUCCAAAUUUGAAUUCAGUGUCUCUAAAAAUGAGAAGUUGAAGAAAAAUUUUGAGUCAGAGAAGAAAGCUUGGGCUGAUGAGAAGGCUUCACUGGUGACUCGGGCCGAGACAGCAGAAGCAUCUCUUGCAGAGGCAACAACCGAGCUGUCCGACUUAAAACGGCAGAUACCUCAAAUAGUCUCAGCCAUCUUCGGCCCCAGGAGUACCAACCUUAAGCAAAACAUGCUGAUCAGGCUUAAAGCAGUUUACACCUUAGUGGAACAGUUGUACUCCGGGUCACAAUGUGCCUUGGCCGUUGUAGCCUUGUCAAACACCCCUCCCCGCCUCUUACAAGACGUGCUGAAGCAUCUCGCUGUGCUACCUCAGCGAAUUCAGGAUUUAAGGCGGGCAUCCGCAAGAGCCGGAGCCGUAGCCGCAUUGAGCCGGGCAAAAGCAUGGCUUCCAGAGCUAGACCCGGCCGACCUUGCUCUUGGAUAUCCCAGUCGGAAAGAGGACGGUACUGCAUUUGAUGAUCAGGACUUCAUCGCCUGUGUCAAAGUUAUACGUCCCGUGGCAACCCUUAUUGGGAACGAUACCGACCUCACCAAGUAUUCUCUGGGCUAUGAUAGUGAGAACCGGAGAAUUCCAAACGUUCCAUAUGAUGAAGUCAGCCUGAUCCCUCCUACUCCUAAGCAUACUUUUGCCCCUGAAGUGGACCCAACCGAUUUAAUAGAUGAUGAAGCUGAGUUUGAAGCCUUGAGCGGCAUUGACUGGGCCUCGUCAACUUUCCAGGACAAAACAGCCGACGGAGAGGCGGAGAAGGAUAACCCGGAGUCUUCAAGCCCACCGAAGGUGUAA
rnacentral:rRNA from 1 species